UUUGAGUAAAAUAGCCUCAUUCAGUUAAAGUGGAAAGUUUUCUCUAACAGUACCAGUCUUCUUCCAACCAAAUUUGAGGUUUGUUUCCACAGAAAUUUAUCUCUUUGGUAUGUGCAUGUGCCCUCAAAACCAAUGGGAAAAAGUUGGCAAGGGUUCAUGGUUUUCGGCCAAUGUCACCAUUUGACCAUAAGCUCUUAGAUAUACGAAAGUAGCUGGUUCAUCCUCGGCAACUUUUGAGAUGUCAAUUGAAGAAGAAUUUUUCCUGUAUCGGGUAGUUCUCUUGAUCGUGGGCUUGG